CGCGGCUGGAACCCGGCCGACAGAAGAUGGCGGAUGAGCAGCGUGCAGGGUUUUCUCCCUGUGGCUCACUCUCUCUUACUGUGCUGGGCGGUUGCUUCCUCUCCUGCUGCCCUUGGGAGUCAGACUCCAGGUUCUUCAGCCUGUGGCCCCUGGGGCUCUCGGGCCUUGGAGGACUGACUAGGAGCACACGGUGGGCCUCUCUGGUUUGGGGGCCUGGGACGUGGCGGAGCCCUGCAGCUUCUGUGCGGCCUGUUCUGGGCGUCGCGUUGAAACGCCAGCCAGUUCCCCAAUCCCCCUGGGAUUACAGGAGUGUUGAAGAAAUGUUGUGACACAUCAGAACACCGCGAAAUACAUGGACACUUUCAAAUCAUGGAAGACUCAAGCCCACCAGGUAUUUUUGAAAAAAGUACUCUGUGAAAAACAGAAACUGCAAGCAAGACAGAUACCAGGAUUAGGGAUCACGGUGACUUCUACCAUCGCUGGAUACUCCCAAAAGGGUUCUCGAGACAGCAGCUGUGUCUGCCCUGCUUUGGCAUUCUUUCCCAGGCAUGGCGACCGUAAGUCAAAAUGUAAUCCUUAGCUGGUCAUACAAGCCCUGUCAUUACUCAUAUAUGCAGAUGAUAUUUUAAAUUCUUCCAGUUUUUUUUUAGGGAGGAGUAUUAAAACAUGAGUAAAAAUUAAUUUGUGGGCUCACUGACAAUGGGGUUUAAUUUGCAUUUUUAUCCUCAUUGAUUAGCACCAAGCCCAGAAGAACUUGUGUUCAUUAAGAACUUGUUGAUUGAGCAGCUAGAAAGGGGCUUGUCUUCCAUAAGGAGAUCUCUACUCUUGUGGGUUUUACUCUCUAGCAGAGGGACAUGAGCAACAGACAAUAAAAUAAAUAUUACAUGGUAUAUUUGAACAAUAUAAAUGCCACGAAAAUGAAAAAUAAAAGUGCAGAGCAAGGAAGAGAGAUGAGAAGGCCAACUGAGAUCUUAAAUGAAGUGGGGAUGGUGGGCCUCACAGAGAGGAGAUGACACACUUGAAGAAGGUGAAGGGGCAAGCACAGAUACUCUGGGGAAUGUGCAUUCCUGCCAGGACCAUCAGUGCUAAAGCCGUAAGUGGAGGUGUGCCUGGCACUUGCCAGGAAUAAUGAGGAAGGGGAGGUGGCAGAGGAGAGCUGAGCUGCCAGGAGAAUGGCACAGGACAUUGGAGGGCUGAUGAGGUCCAGAUGACAUGUGGCUUCACAAACCAUUGCAAGGAUAUGGCAUCUGCUCUGAGUCAAAUGGAAAUUUAUUGCAGGAUUUGAAAAAAGAGUGAUGGCUGUGUCCAGUGGCUCAUGCCUAGAAUCCCAGCACUAUGGGAGGCCGAGACAGGCAGAUCACUUGAGCCCAGGAGUUUUAGACCAGCCUGUGCAACAGGGUGAAACCUCGUUUCUACCAAAAAUACAAAAAUGCAUGGGCGUGGUGGCACAUGCAAAUAGUUCCAGCUAAUCAGGAUGCUGAGGUGGGAGGAUCACUUGAGCUCUGGCAAGUGGAGCCUGCAGUGAGCUGAGAUCACCACCACACUCCAGUCUGGGCAACAGAAUGAGAUCCUGUCUCAAUAAAAAGAAAAAAGCGUUGAUGUGGUUUGGCUCUGUGUCCCCACCCAAAUCUCACCUUGUAGCUCUCUUAAUUCCCACAUGUUGUGAGAGGGACCCAGUGGGAGAUGAUUGAAUUACGGGAGCCAGUCUUUCCCAUACCGUUGUCAUGGUAGUGAAUAAGCCUCGAGAUCUGAUGGUUUGAUAAGGAGAAACUUGUUUCGCUUGGCAUUUAUUCUCUCUUUGCCUGCUGCCAUGCAUGUAAGAUGUGAAUUUUGCUCCACCUUGACUUCUGCCAUGAUUGUGAGGCUUCCCCAGCCAUGUGGAACUGUAAUUAAACCUCUUUCUUUUGUAAAUUCCCCAUUCUCAGGUGUGUUUUAUCAGCAGCAUGAAAACAAACUAAUACAAGAAUGAUAUAAUUUGGAUUUACGUUUGAAAAUACUUGAGACUAAUCUGUGUGUGGAUAGAGGUAGGAAAGGGGAAAGAAAUGGAGAUCCCUAGGAGGCUGUCAGUAAUACAG
rnacentral:lncRNA from 1 species